rnacentral:rRNA from 1 species
UACGAAGGGGGGCUAGCGUUGCUCGGAAUCACUGGGCGUAAAGCGCACGUAGGCGGCCAGCACAAGUCAGUUGUGAAAUCUCCGAGCUUAACUCGGAAAGGUCAACUGAUACUGUGCGGCUAGAGUGCAGAAGGGGCAACUGGAAUUCUUGGUGUAGCGGUGAAAUGCGUAGAUAUCAAGAGGAACACCUGCGGCGAAGGCGGGUUGCUGGGCUGACACUGACGCUGAGGCGCGAAAGCGUGGGGGAGCAAACAGG